rnacentral:rRNA from 1 species
UACGUAGGGUGCAAGCGUUGUCCGGAAUUAUUGGGCGUAAAGAGCUCGUAGGCGGCUUGUCGCGUCGACUGUGAAAACCCGCGGCUCAACUGCGGGCUUGCAGUCGAUACGGGCAGGCUAGAGUUCGGUAGGGGAGACUGGAAUUCCUGGUGUAGCGGUGAAAUGCGCAGAUAUCAGGAGGAACACCGAUGGCGAAGGCAGGUCUCUGGGCCACUACUGACGCUGAGAAGCGAAAGCAUGGGGAGCGAACAGG